UUUAGUAUUUUCUUGAUAAUUUGAAACUGUUUUAGGUAUUUUUUUGAGAAAUCAGCUAUGCUAAAUUGCAAUUUUGAUUCUUAGUUGAGCUGGUAAUUUUAUUUUUGUAUCUUUUUUAGCUUAAUGAAUACAAUGUCAAUGCAGACGACUGUGGGACGUUCCCCGAUUGUGUGUUUUAUGAAUGCAAUGUUAUUGCAAAGGACCAUUUGUGAGGUUCCUUCUUUCGAUCUUAACUGGUAAUUGUUAGGGUAUUAUGUUUGCGUUAGGAGCAAGCAGAUGGACAGUUAGAUAUAGGUAUAACUCGAAGCAUAUGAUAUGACGGCUAUAGCUAUUCAGAGAGCUAGUUGGAAUACGCUGUGAUUGCAAAAGACUGUAGGAAGUUCCGUCUUUCUCUCUUAUCCGAUUUUUGUAGGUUAUUAUGAUUUGCAUUUGAUAUUGCCAUAUAGGACGCAUGAGAUGCUGGCUAUAGUUAUUCGAAGCAGAAGGUGUGUAUUGAGGAUUGGCUCUAUGUUGAUUGCUACCUUGAUUUUUGAGUGGAUAAAGGAGUAAUUUGUACUCCAUUGUCCAUGAGGAAUAGUCAAGAAGGCCAUACCCUAAAAUGAUUUCACCCCCUUACUCCAGGCAGAAUUUGCAUAUCAGGUUCCAAACCAGCACAUUAGAAUCUUAUUUCUGUAACAAUUUACUGCCCCGAAUUCCAAAUGAAAGAAGCAAACUCUUGGUGCAUAAUUGGAUAAUCCCGUGUCUCACACCACUCUUCAAGAAUAAAUAUAUGCAUUAGGAGAUUACCUCUAUUUUGUUGCCACUUAUGCAAAUUAUCAUUAAUGCAAUGCUAAGAUAUUCAAACAAAUGUCCAUGUAAUAGUCUUAAUCUUCUUCAAGACCUUACAUUUAUUGAUAAAAUUGGAAAGAGGGAAAGAUGAUGGAUGUGGAAACCUUUAUUUUUCUUGAAAGAAAAAAGAAAGGACUACAAGAGUAGAUAAGUUCUCAAGUAGAAAUCAUGUAAAAGGAUAUGACCCCCCUCCCCCCCUCUCAGCAUACUUUAUUGUGGAUCAUCAAAGCAAAAAGAAUGAGGAAAAGAAGUUGAUGAAGAGAAUUUUCUUAUUUUGUUUGUCGAAGAGCUCUCCUCAAAAAAGGAUCUUAAUCCUCUACUUCACAUUAAUCUUGUGGAAGAUGUAUAUUACUCUAGUGGCAAAUGUAGGAUGCCAGUACGUCCGAAAAUUUUCUUUGAAGUCCGUACAUGCUUUUGAUCACUUGGUGCUAUUAGUAAUAGGUUCAAGAAGGUAUCUCCAUAACCACUUCUUCAAUAAAUGGAUGUUAUUUGGGACCAUAACCAAAUAAAUGGUUGUUAGUUGGCGGUUACUCCUCUCUUCCAACUCCUCUUACACUUGACUAACAAAUGAUGUAGAAACAUCACUAAAACUUUUGCAAACCCCUGACUGUUUUAAGUACAAGAAAGGUAGAGAGGGAUGUUAGAAAUAAAAAGGCUAAGAAACAAUAUUGAGAAUUACUUAGAGAUGUUACAAAAACUAUUGGGAUUUAAUGCUAAUCUAAUUAACAAAGCGGAAAACAAUCUCAGAUCCAGAAUCUCAUGCAAAAAUAUUGAAUAAACGAAUACAUACAUUUAACGCGUGUUCUCCCACUUGCCUCAGAAACACAAACAAGAACCCCACUCGUAGUUCCUCUACAAUCGUCCACCGACACGUUCAGAUCCGCCUUGGUUCCGUUAGCUUAGAACUUCCACGAGUUAUUUGGUUUUGGGAAUUAUCAAUCUUGGAGGCACACGGAGAAUUAGGGUUCUUGUGUUUCUAGGGUUAGAUUGAUAUGUGUAGUGUGGAAAACGGAAUGCAUAGGUUAUUAGAAUAACCCUAGGGGUUAUAACACCAACCGGCCAAGGCACAAUGCCAAGACCGCCCAGCAAGUCCAUCCGAGCAAGUGAGGAAGCGCACAACGGUUGGGUUGUGCCCAGGCCAGCGCGCUGCUGUCGCUGCACAGCCCGCGCACACACAUCAUCAUGGCCAUGGGCCUGCGCGCUGUUGUGUUGUCGCUACUAUGUUGUUGCGCCCAUGGGCGUAGCGCUUGGGCUCGUGGGCUAACAACUUGCUCGUUUCCUUUUCGUAUUUCGUCGUCCAUCUAAUGUCUUACUACUAUUAUUAUCGUAUAAUACUUGACGACGGCCUACGAAUAUACACAAUACGAUAUACGAUUACGAUUACGAUCCGACGUCUUAUCGUAUAUUUACGUUUUCCGACCUAAAUUCCUGAAUAGCCAUUAAAUGAAUCUCCGAUUCGUUUAAUCUGGCGAUUUGUUUUAUGUCAUUAGUGUGACCUUGUAGGUUCAGUCAAGAGUAAGUUGUGAGCCUAAUAAGGAUUAGAACUCACUGAUCGGAUACAUUGCUCCAGCUAGCUGUUCCAGUCACUUGAUCUUACUGAAUUAAUUAUUCCUAAUUAAUCUGAACCUUGGUAUUAGAUUAAUGCACCUUGGGUGAAAGACACAUUUCCUUCAGUCUCCCACUUAUCCUUUAGACAAGUGUGCAUUCAUAUUCCUUUGUCUUUUAGUGUUACUUCCUGAACAUAAGGUAAGCCUGAACACUGCUUUUUUAGUCUCCUUCAACGGUGCGACGUUUAGCGAGCAUCAAAGCUAACUAAUCAUCAAACGAGUAAUCAUAAUUACUCGUGUUUUGAGGACGGGUUCUAAUCACCAUUAAUGAGAACGACUUAUGACACGACUUUAAUCUCUUAAAGUGUUCUCAUGGUCAGGGUCACAUAAUACGGUUGAUACCCCUUCGUACUCCGAUUUAAUACGAUUCGUACUAAUUCGAGUACGAAUUCGAUCUAAUUCGACCCAAUAACCGAUCUGAUCGAUUUCUAAACUUUUUCGCCAUUGCUGAUUUUGAAGCUUUGUCUUCUGCUUGAGAACGGGGAUGGAGAAAGAAAGAGGAAGGUGAAGAGAAUGAGGAGGCGAGGAGCAUAAAUUAAUUAACCGUUCUGUCUUUAUUUUUAUUUUUUUUGAAAUAACCCUUUUGUCUUUAUCUUUAUUACUAGAAGACAGCUGGCAUCUUAUUCUUUUCCUUUUUUUUCUAAAAUUUGACAGAUUGACAGCUGGUCUUAUAAGGGAAAUAAGACAGUUGUUAUCUAAAGGCUGGUUAUAUUUUACUUUCUUGAAAUAAGACAGCUGGUAUCUAAAGGCUAGUUAUUUUUUAACAUUAUUUUUUCUUAAAAUUGAAUUGUAUCGUAUUAUAUUAUAAAAAAUCGUAUUUAAAAUUCCUCAAAACGUAUUUGUAAUACGACCACCUCUCGUAUUCCGUAUUCGUAUUGCGUUUUCGUACUAAAUCGUACUACGUAUUAGGUGACCCUGCUCAUGGUUAAUCCGAUACGAAUUCCAAUAAGUAUCUAUGCAAAAUAUGUUUGACAUCCAAGUUCCAUUAGUUCAAGAAACUGAACUAUAAAUCUACUUGCAAUCUAAUCUUCAUUAGUCAUUGGUCGUCCAAUAAUUCAAUGACCUGGAUUAGGGAUCCUUUGUGACUUCAAUAUUCAAGUUCACUUAUGGGUGUUUCUUUAUCAAAGAAUCCAAUCUUGAUAUCCCAUUUGAAUGUUUUGAAUCACUUGGAUUUUAUCAUUUAAUAUUAAACCAAAAUUAAAUGAAUAUGAAAAUAUAAUUUCAUGAAUAUGAAAUGGUUAACCAAUUGUUUAAAACAUAAAUCCAACAAAUGUUCUAAAACAAAACUAAGAAAAUAAAAGCCAUUCUCCAAUAUGCUUGAUUCCCAUGGUUGCUACAUGUGUGUUGUGUUUCACUUGUGGCAACGGUUUAGUUAAUGGAUCCGCGAUGUUGUCGUCCGUUCCAACCUUGCAAAUCUCGAUUUAUUUCCGUACAAAGAUUUUUCUAAGUAUGUGAAAUAGACGCAGUACGUGUUUGACUUUCUGAUGGAUCUUAGGCUUCUUUGCCUAGCAAUGGCUCCACUAUUAUUGCAAUAUAAAGCCACUUGUCCCUUUAUGGAUGGGAUAACCUCAAGUUCUUCUAUGAACUUCUGAAUCCAAACAGCUUCCUUUGCUGCUUCAGAGGCAGCAAUGUACUCGGGUUCAGUUGUAGAAUCCACAAUAGUGCUUCGCUUAGCACUUUUUCAGCUUACUGCUCCGCCAUUAAGGCAGAACAGAACACAAAACCAGACUUUGAUCUGAAAUCAUCUAUGUCGGUUUGAAAGCUUGCGUCCGUAUAGCCCUUAACAAUCAACUCAUCAGUUCCACCAUAGAGAUCAAGAAUUUAUCCUUUGUCCUUUUCAGGUACUUUAGGAUAUUCUUGGCAGCAGUCCAAUGCGCCUCUCCUGGGUUUGACUUUUGACUCGUACCUGCUCGUUGCACUGAGUGCGAACGAAACAUAAGGCCUUGUAUAAAUCAUGGCAUACAUGAUAUAUCCAAUAGCCGAAGAAUAUAGAAUCUUUCUCAUCUUUCAACGCUCAUCAGAUGUCUUAGGACACUGAGUCUUGCUUAGAUAUAUACCAUGUGUCUUGGGUAGAUGACCUCUCUUGGCUUCCAUCAUAUUGAACCGAGCUAGCACCUAUCAAUAUAAGUACUUUGGCUUAGUCCAAUCAUCCUCUUAGAUCUUUCCUAUAAAUCUUGAUGUCCAAAAUGUACUGUGACUCUUCUAAGUCCAUCAGUGAGAAACACUUUCCAAGCCAAACCUUUACAGACUACAGUAUAGGCAUGUCAUUUUCAAUUAAGCAAUAUGUCAUCAACAUAUAAGACUGCAAUCUUACUCCAACUGACUUUCUUGUAUACACAAGACUCGUCAUGAUUCUUGAUGAAGCCGAAUGCAAAUCGUUUGUUCCAACCUCCUGGAUGCUUGCUUCAAUCCAUAAAUGGAUUUCUUGCCUUUUUUUCACCCUCCCUUGCCCUAAUCAGUCCAAUAGCGGCUCAUUAAAGGAGGUCAGUCCCUUUCUUGGGCUUACUAAUAUAAGGCCCAUUUCAGUUUCCCAUGUUGUAAUACCCAACUUCUAUACCCCACUGUUCACUUUAGAACCCAACACCUCUUUAAAUAACCCAAACCCACCUUUGAAACCCACCAUUUCUAUUUACUACAACCCUCAGUUCAUGACCCAACCAACUCACCCAACUUGUCCAGACCCGAAUUCUCCACCACACAACUCAACCAUCCACAUAGCCCAACUCUUAACAAAACCACCCCGCCUUUUGUUUUUAAACCAAAUUUCUUUUCUGAUUUCCCCAACCCAAAACCUGUCAAUCACAUGUUAGAACCAUCUCACCGCAUGGCCACUCUCACCUUAGUUUCACCACACGAAAGUCUUCUACUCUUCUGUGUGCCUGCAACAUCCAACAAAUAGGAGCUUGAACAUCCAUGGCAGCAGUGUUCUGCAGACAACAUUGACCCAAGUUGCCGAGCAGUGGCGGAUUUACAGUGUAGGAAGUGGGGUCAUGUGAACCCACUUGGUAAAAAAAAUUGCUGUGGAGAAAUAAAAUUUUACCGUAUAAAAACUGACAUAUUCCAAGAAAACAGAAAAAAUGACCCCACUUAAUAUUUUAAAGUGAACCCACUAUCCCACUUGAUUACAAUUUUUCAGAAUUCAACAGAAAAAAUAUCACCCAUGAGCCACGCAAUCCUUUCCAUAUUUCCUAAUCUAUUGAGUAUUGAAUGACAACACCAAACAGUCAAAAUAACUUUUCUUCUUCCUCUUUCCCCAUUUGAUAUCUUUCUCUCUCCUCCUUAAACCUUAUGAUAAACUUCCAUAACACAAUUACAAAGUAAAAAGACAUAAACUUUUGCAAUUUGCAGCCAAGAAUACUUUAAGAACACAAUUAUAAAGGAAAAAUUCGCAAUUGAUGUUCAUAAAAUAUGGACAAAUUUGUGAUAAGGAAGAAGGCACGAGCUCAAGAUAGCACUAAUGGGAGUCUACAUUGCGCAAUAGAAUGGGCGAUCAAUUAUUAAAUGAUUGUUUGUUGACGUAUAUAGAAAGAGAUGUAUGUGAGACUAUUACUAACGAGAGUACGAGACUAUUAUGUAUCACUUUCAAAAUAUGAAACCACGUCGAGGUGUAUUACCUUAGACGUUAGAUUUAUAAUGUUUUUAUUAUGGGAAUGUACUAAGUACUCGUGGAACUUUCAUUCAUUUUUAAUAGUACUUCUUUUUUUAUCAUCUUUAUACGGAGUAGUACUUAAUUUUGAUAAAA